GAUGAAGAACGCAGCGAAAUGCGAUAAGUAGUGUGAAUUGCAGAAUUCAGUGAAUCAUCGAAUCUUUGAACGCACAUUGCGCCCGCUGGUAUUCCGGCGGGCAUGCCUGUUCGAGCGUCAUUUCAACCCUCAAGCCCCCGGGUUUGGUGUUGGGGAUCGGCUCUGCCCUUCUGGGCGGUGCCGCCCCCGAAAUACAUUGGCGGUCUCGCUGCAGCCUCCAUUGCGUAGUAGCAACACCUCGCAACUGGAACGCGGCGCGGCCAUGCCGUAAAACCCCAACUUCUGAAUGUUGACCUCGGAUCAGGUAGGAAUACCCGCUGAACUUAAGCAUAUCAAUAAGCGGAGGA
rnacentral:misc_RNA from 1 species